UACGGGGGGGGCAAGCGUUGUUCGGAUUUACUGGGCGUAAAGGGCGCGUAGGCGGCGUGUUAAGUCAGCUGUGAAAUCUCCAAGCUUAACUUGGAACGGUCAGCUGAUACUGAUGUGCUAGAGUGCAGAAGGGGCAAUCGGAAUUCUUGGUGUAGCGGUGAAAUGCGUAGAUAUCAAGAGGAACACCUGAGGUGAAGACGGGUUGCUGGGCUGACACUGACGCUGAGGCGCGAAAGCUAGGGUAGCAAACGGG
rnacentral:rRNA from 1 species